GUCAAACUGGUGAAUAAUUUUAUUCAGUCUACACUUCUCGCUUGAUCAGACGUACUUAUCAAUUUUGAAUAUCUUCGUUUCAUAGUAUGAUGAGCAUAACGUUUUUUCUACUUUUAUCUUUGGUUCUAAUCGUUAAAGCUGAUGAGGUUUUGAGUGGCACACCUCCAAGUCCAGAAACAUGUAAACUACGGGGCGAAAUAUAUCGAAUAGGACAAAUUUGUGAAAGUAUUCCGUCAUGCCAGUAUCCGAAUGGACCGGAAAAUAUUUGCAUGGCAAUAGGAUGGAUUGGAAAGUGUUACUGUCGCCAUGGACAUCUACGAAACAAAAAUGGAAUUUGUGUACCGAGAAACAGAUGCUAGGUUCAAGAGUUCAAGAUAAGCUCAAUUUGUUAAUGUGACUUUAGAUGUGGAAAUAGUCAAAUAUAACAAAUACAAUUGACUUUGGCACAAUUAAAAAUUGAUUGUGUUUUAAACUCAAAAA